UUACCAGGUCUUGACAUCCCUGACAACCCGAGAGACUCGGGCGUUCCCCUUCGGGGGACAGGGUGACAGGUGGUGGCAUGGUUGUCGUCAGCUCGUGUCGUGAGAUGUUGGGUUAAGUCCCGCAACGAGCGCAACCCUCGACCUUAGUUGCCAGCAUUCAGUUGGGCACUCUAAGGUGACUGCCGGCUAAAAGUCGGAGGAAGUGGGGAUGACGUCAAAUCAUCAUGCCCCUUAUGACCUGGGCUACACACGUGCUACAAUGGGCGGUACAAAGGGUCGCGAACCCGCGAGGGGGAGCCAAUCCCAAAAAGCCGCUCUCAGUUCGGAUUGCAGGCUGCAACUCGCCUGCAUGAAGCCGGAAUCGCUAGUAAUCGCGGAUCAGCAUGCCGCGGUGAAUACGUUCCCGGGCCUU
rnacentral:rRNA from 1 species